rnacentral:rRNA from 1 species
CACGUAGGGGGCAAGCGUUGUCCGGAAUCAUUGGGCGUAAAGCGCGUGUAGGCGGCUGAGUAAGUCUGCUCUGAAAGCCCGGGGCUCAACCCCGGGAGGCGGGUGGAUACUGCUCAGCUCGAGUCCGGAAGAGGAGUGUGGAAUUCCUGGUGUAGCGGUGAAAUGCGCAGAUAUCAGGAGGAACACCAAUGGCGAAGGCAGCACUCUGGGACGGUACUGACGCUGAGACGCGAAAGCGUGGGGAGCAAACAGG